UAGAGUUUCUUUCUGGCUCAGGAUGAACGCUAGCUACAGGCUUAACACAUGCAAGUCGAGGGGCAGCAUGAACAUAGCUUGCUAUGUUUGAUGGCGACCGGCGCACGGGUGCGUAACACGUAUCCAAUCUGCCCGUCACUCGGGGGAUAGCCUUCUGAAAGGAAGAUUAAUACCCGAUGGCAUGCAUUUCCGGCAUCGGAGAUGCAUUAAAGAUUUAUCGGUGACGGAUGAGGAUGCGUACGAUUAGCUUGUUGGCGGGGUAACGGCCCACCAAGGCGACGAUCGUUAGGGGUUCUGAGAGGAAGGUCCCCCACACUGGAACUGAGACACGGUCCAGACUCCUACGGGAGGCAGCAGUGAGGAAUAUUGGUCAAUGGGCGAGAGCCUGAACCAGCCAAGUAGCGUGAAGGAUGAAGGUUCUAUGGAUUGUAAACUUCUUUUAUACGGGAAUAAAACACACCACGUGUGGUGUCUUGUAUGUACCGUAUGAAUAAGCAUCGGCUAACUCCGUGCCAGCAGCCGCGGUAAUACGGAGGAUGCGAGCGUUAUCCGGAUUUAUUGGGUUUAAAGGGAGCGUAGACGGGGGAUUAAGUCAGUUGUGAAAGGCUGCGGCUCAACCGCAGCACUGCAGUUGAUACUGGUUUCCUUGAGUGCGGUUGAGGUAUGUGGAAUUCGUGGUGUAGCGGUGAAAUGCUUAGAUAUCACGAAGAACUCCGAUUGCGAAGGCAGCAUACUAAGCCGUAACUGACGUUGAGGCUCGAAAGUGUGGGUAUCAAACAGGAUUAGAUACCCUGGUAGUCCACACGGUAAACGAUG
rnacentral:rRNA from 1 species